ACACAUGCAAGUCGAACGAGCGAGAGAGAGCUUGCUUUCUCGAGCGAGUGGCGAACGGGUGAGUAACGCGUGAGGAACCUGCCUCAAAGAGGGGGACAACAGUUGGAAACGACUGCUAAUACCGCAUAAGCCCACGACCCGGCAUCGGGUAGAGGGAAAAGGAGCAAUCCGCUUUGAGAUGGCCUCGCGUCCGAUUAGCUAGUUGGUGAGGUAACGGCCCACCAAGGCGACGAUCGGUAGCCGGACUGAGAGGUUGAACGGCCACAUUGGGACUGAGACACGGCCCAGACUCCUACGGGAGGCAGCAGUGGGGAAUAUUGCACAAUGGGGGAAACCCUGAUGCAGCGACGCCGCGUGGAGGAAGAAGGUCUUCGGAUUGUAAACUCCUGUUGUUGAGGAAGAUAAUGACGGUACUCAACAAGGAAGUGACGGCUAACUACGUGCCAGCAGCCGCGGUAAAACGUAGGUCACAAGCGUUGUCCGGAAUUACUGGGUGUAAAGGGAGCGCAGGCGGGAAGACAAGUUGGAAGUGAAAUCCAUGGGCUCAACCCAUGAACUGCUUUCAAAACUGUUUUUCUUGAGUAGUGCAGAGGUAGGCGGAAUUCCCGGUGUAGCGGUGGAAUGCGUAGAUAUCGGGAGGAACACCAGUGGCGAAGGCGGCCUACUGGGCACCAACUGACGCUGAGGCUCGAAAGUGUGGGUAGCAAACAGGAUUAGAUACCCUGGUAGUCCACACCGUAAACGAUGAUUACUAGGUGUUGGAGGAUUGACCCCUUCAG
rnacentral:rRNA from 1 species